rnacentral:snoRNA from 1 species
GCUGCUGCUAGAAGCCUUGAAGGUUGGCUGCUGUGUCACAUGUGCAUCAGUAGGUGGUAGAGAGGAGAGGGGCUGUGUCUAUGCUCACUGUUCUGACCAAUGAAUAUCUGAAUGAUUAAUAGCCUAAAGU